rnacentral:lncRNA from 1 species
ACCCUAAUUAGCCUCUCCCUCGUCACGCUCACAACCGUCUCCCUCCCUCCCCACCACCACUGAUUCGCAUCUCCAUCUCUCCCAAACCCUAAUCAAUCAUAUCCACUUCCCUCAAACAUAUAGAGAGAAGAGGCAGAGAUGGAGUUAGAGAGAGAAACAUAUACAGAGAAGAGGCAGGAUUAACAGGGGCUGUCGGGACCUUCAGUUCAUGGCGUUCUCCUAGGCGGCGAUGGUGCUGUUCUGUGCCUCAAACUGUCGUAUGCCUACCAUCACCCUACAUAUUGGGUCUUGAUAUAUGAUGAUGGUGAAAUUAAGCUUGUCUCAGAUCUUAGUCGAUUUGCACUCAUCUAUUUUUGGAUUUUGGAAGCACAUCUGAAAGGCACUUGAAUUUGUGCAGAGAGUGUUAUAAAAAGGUUGUUGAACUUGCUUAUCAACUGAGAAAAUAAGAAAUGCCUCUCAAAAACAAUCUCUUCUUUCUGGAAUUAUACUUUGCUGGGCUUCCGUUAUUCAAGGAACUAGCUUUAGUGAAAGAACGAAGGUGCAAUUUCUCUAUGACCAUAAGAAAUCCUACACACCUGAUAUUAUUUUUUUAGUGGCAUGGAUCUAGCAUCAAGGUUUAGGUAGCAGUUGGGUUUCUCCUGGUCAUUCUAUUGCAGCCGCAAUGUCUUAUCAAUUAUGAGCCUCAAGUGUCCAUGUUUAUUUUUGUCCUGUUUUCUUCAACACGUUUCUUUAACUGCUAAGAUCGUUAUUGUCUAUUUUUUGUAUUUUUUGCUUGUGUUGGUGCAGGUUGAACUUUUAUUCUUCUUCGUUAAAGAGCCUAGGGUUGGAUCAGGAUUCCAGUUUCAGGUUGUACUGAUUUAGUCAUGAAGACAAAUAGUAAUAACAAUGAAAUAACAAUCCAUAAAACAUCAUCACCAUUUUAGGCUCGCAUACUUGCUAGAUUUAUUUAAAGGAGACUUUGAGUUGGAAAUCAUUCUUUACCUUAGACUAACUUAGAUGUACACAUUCUGUUUAAUUUUAUUUUGGAUUUUAACAUUUAUUUUGUAUAUGAAGCUAUUUUGUUAAUCAAGUGAUGCUUAGGU